rnacentral:misc_RNA from 1 species
GAUGAAGAACGCAGCGAAAUGCGAUAAGUAAUGUGAAUUGCAGAAUUCAGUGAAUCAUCGAAUCUUUGAACGCACAUUGCGCCCGCCAGUAUUCUGGCGGGCAUGCCUGUUCGAGCGUCAUUUCAACCAUCAAGCCCCCGGCUUGUGUUGGGGACCUGCGGCUGCCGCAGGCCCUGAAAACCAGUGGCGGGCUCGCUAGUCACUCCGAGCGUAGUAAUACAUCUCGCUCAGGGCGUGCUGCGGGUUCCGGCCGUUAAAAAGCCUUAUUUACCCAAGGUUGACCUCGGAUCAGGUAGGAAGACCCGCUGAACUUAAGCAUAUCAAUAGCGGAGGA